GUUGAUCAGUUGAAGACUCCUCUGACUGAGGUUAAGAGGCAGUUGAUGUUGAAUGGGGUUCACCCGGGCUGUGGUAUUGAUUGUGCUGAGUGCACUGUUGUUCAGAAUGGGUGUGAAUUAUUGAGGAGGACUGUCCAGGGUUUGAUGGACAAUGGGAGUAUUCUAAGUUGAUGUUGAAUGGGGUUCACCCGGGCUGUGGUAUUGAUUGUGCUGAGUGCACUGUUGUUCAGAAUGGGUGUGAAUUAUUGAGGAGGACUGUCCAGGGUU
rnacentral:lncRNA from 1 species